GUACUACUCCCUCCGUCCUAAAAUUCUUGUCUUAAAUUUGUCUAAAUACGGAUGUAUCAAGCCACGUUUUAGUAUUAGAUACAUCCGUAUCUAGACAAAUCUAAGACAAGAAUUUUGGGACGGAGAAAGUACUUA
rnacentral:pre_miRNA from 1 species